rnacentral:rRNA from 1 species
AACGAACGCUGGCGGCAGGCCUAACACAUGCAAGUCGAGCGGAUCCUUCGGGAUUAGCAGCGGACGGGUGAGUGACGCGUGGGAAUAUGCCCUUCUCUACGGAAUAGCCUCGGGAAACUGGGAGUAAUACCGUAUACGCCCUACGGGGGAAAGAUUUAUCGGAGAAGGAUUAGCCCGCGUUGGAUAGGUAGUUGGUGGGGUAAUGGCCUACCAAGCCUACGAUCCAUAGCUGGUUUGAGAGGAUGAUCAGCCACACUGGGACUGAGACACGGCCCAGACUCCUACGGGAGGCAGCAGUGGGGAAUCUUAGUCAAUGGGGGAAACCCUGAUCUAGCCAUGCCGCGUGAGUGAUGAAGGCCUUAGGGUUGUAAAGCUCUUUCAGCUGGGAAGAUAAUGACGGUACCAGCAGAAGAAGCCCCGGCUAACUUCGUGCCAGCAGCCGCGGUAAGAC